UACGUAGGGUGCAAGCGUUGUCCGGAAUCACUGGGCGUAAAGGGCGCGUAGGCGGCCUGGUAAGUAGGGGGGUGAAAUCCUGCGGCUCAACCGCAGGGCUGCCUUCUAAACUGUCAGGCUAGAGCACAGUAGAGGCAGGUGGAAUUCCCGGUGUAGCGGUGGAAUGCGUAGAGAUCGGGAAGAACAUCAGUGGCGAAAAGCGACUUCCUGGACCAGAACUGACGAUCAGGCACGAAAGCGUGGGGAGCAAACAGG
rnacentral:rRNA from 1 species